rnacentral:rRNA from 1 species
ACGAAGGAUCCAAGCGUUAUCCGGAUUCAUUGGGUUUAAAGGGUGCGUAGGCGGGUUUAUAAGUCAGUGGUGAAAGCCGAUCGCUUAACGAUCGAACUGCCAUUGAUACUGUAGACCUAGAGUACAGAUGAUGUUGGCGGAAUAUGACAUGUAGCGGUGAAAUGCAUAGAUAUGUCAUAGAACACCGAUUGCGAAGGCAGCUGACAAAACUGUAACUGACGCUGAUGCACGAAAGUGCGGGGAUCAAACAGGAUUAGAUACCCUGGUAGUCCGCACAGUACACGAUGAUAACUAGUUGUUUGCGAUAUACAGUAAGCGACCAAGCGAAAGCGAUAAGUUAUCCACCUGGGGAGUACGCUCGCAAGAGUG